ACACAACGAGAUGAGGAUGGUCAUUGUGAUUUUCUGAGCUGCGAACGGGCAGAAAGCUACACAACGAGAUGAGGAUGGUCAUUGUCAUUUUCUGAGCUGCGAACGGGCAGAAAGCUAACCAACGAGAUGAGGAUGGUCAUUGUCAUUUUCUAAGCUACGAACGGGCAGAAAGCUACACAACGAGAUGAGGAUGGUCAUUGUCAUUUUCUGAGCUGCGAACGGGCAGAAA